rnacentral:rRNA from 1 species
UAAGAUCCCUGAAAGAUGAUCAGGUUGAUAGGUCUGAGGUGGAAGUGUGGCGACACAUGGAGCUGACAGAUACUAAUCGAUCGAGGACUUAACCAUAUUU